GAACUCUGGAGAAUCUCGCAAAUGGGUGCCGAAGGUGCAAGAUAGCUUUUUAUCGAAUCUCUCAGGCAAAAGGACAGAGU
rnacentral:ncRNA from 1 species